UUCAUUCAUGGAGAACCCUAGCCGCAAAGAAGGAAGAACAAUAGCCCCCUGUCGCCGUUUUUUCCCCUGGUGUCGCCAUCGUCAACCCCAGUAACCCUCCAAUCUCCAUCUUCGCCUGGUUCCUGCCCAGUAGCCCUCCAUCUCCAUCGGCUUCAUCUUCUCAACAGCAGCACGCAGUAGCCCUCUCAUCGCGCGGUCGGCGGUCCUCAACAGUCAACACCGGUAGCCCUCCAUCGAUCCCAGAUUGAUGUCUGAAGGAUUUGUUUCAUACCUGGAGUUGUGGAAAAAAAAUGGAGUUUCAUUUAAAAGAUUGUAACAUCAUUUGCAGUAUCAGCUACUUUGUUGAUGUAAAUAUCAAUAUUAUACUCUAAUAUGCUAUCUUGUAUUGCUUCCUUUUGUAAAUAUCAAUUUCUGACUUUCUGUGAAUUGUUCAAUUUCUGA